UACGUAGGGUGCAAGCGUUUGUCCGGAAUUAUUGGGCGUAAAGAGCUCGUAGGCGGUUUGUUGCGUCGGCUGUGGAAAUCCCCGAGGCUCAACCUCGGGUCUGCAGUCGAUACGAGCAAACUAGAGUGUUGCAGGGGAGACUGGAAUUCCUGGGUGAUAGCGGUGAAAUGCGCAGAUAUCAGGAGGAACACCGGUGGCGAAGGCGGGUCUCUGGGCAACAACUGACGGCUGGAGGAGCGAAAAGCGUGGGGGAGCGAAACAGG
rnacentral:rRNA from 1 species